AUGCAAGUCGAGCGAAUGGAUUGAGAGCUUGCUCUUAUGAAGUUAGCGGGCGGACGGGUGAGUAACACGUGGGUAACCUGCCCAUAAGACUGGGAUAACUCCGGGAAACCGGGGCUAAUACCGGAUAACAUUUUGAACUGCAUGGUUCGAAAUUGAAAGGCGGCUUCGGCUGUCACUUAUGGAUGGACCCGCGUCGCAUUAGCUAGUUGGUGAGGUAACGGCUCACCAAGGCAACGAUGCGUAGCCGACCUGAGAGGGUGAUCGGCCACACUGGGACUGACACACGGCCCAGACUCCUACGGGAGGCAGCAGUAGGGAAUCUUCCGCAAUGGACGAAAGUCUGACGGAGCAACGCCGCGUGAGUGAUGAAGGCUUUCGGGUCGUAAAACUCUGUUGUUAGGGAAGAACAAGUGCUAAUUGAAUAAGCUGGCACCUUGACGGUACCUAACCAGAAAGCCACGGCUAACUACGUGCCAGCAGCCGCGGUAAUACGUAGGUGGCAAGCGUUAUCCGGAAUUAUUGGGCGUAAAGCGCGCGCAGGUGGUUUCUUAAGUCUGAUGUGAAAGCCCACGGCUCAACCGUGGAGGGUCAUUGGAAACUG
rnacentral:rRNA from 1 species